rfam:Pseudoalteromonas porphyrae strain TCD-SED14 scaffold_31, whole genome shotgun sequence.
CGCUGAAAGCAUCUAAGCGCGAAGCAGGCCUCGAGAUGAGUUCUCACUAGAGCUAUAAGCUCUCUGAAGGGCCGUUGGAGACUACAACGUUGAUAGGCAAGGUGUGGAAGCAUAGUGAUAUGUUAAGCUAACUUGUACUAAUUACCCGUGAGGCUUAACCAU